GGGGAUGUCUAGAUUCGAUGGUUUUGUUCUUUGAAAAUCUGCACACCGGCAUUGAGAAGUUGCCGUUAAACAAUCUCAAAAUACAAAUGCUGACUCUUUGUCACGCAAAUUCACUUAUGGACUGAAAGCUAUUGCAGCUGACGUCUUGGGUGGAUUCCAACAGCCAAUAGUAGCUCGAGCUUACGCUUUUGCUGCUUAAUUAGCUUAGGACAUUCACAAUUACUUUUCCUAUCGGAGUCAAUUGUGGGUGAAACCAAACGAUAGGUGUAGUAUUGAUUUGAUCAAGCAAUACCAAAUUUAGAUCAAGCUGAAAAGACAUGAGUCGUUUGCUAAUCAUCUUUUCAGUACCCUAGCAAACUAUGUGUGUAGAAGAUUUAAAAGUCAAAGCUAGACGGGGGUGCGAUUCCCCCCAUCUCCACCA
rnacentral:tmRNA from 1 species